rnacentral:rRNA from 1 species
CAGAGGGUGCGAGCGUUAAUCGGAAUUACUCGGCGUAAAGCGUGCGUAGACGGUUAUUUAAGUCGGGUGUGAAAGCCCCGGGCUCAACCUGGGAAUUGCAUUCGAGACUGAAUAGCUAGGGUACGGUAGAGGGAAGUGGAAUUUCCGGUGUAGCGGUGAAAUGCGUAGAUAUCGGAAGGAACAUCAGUGGCGAAAGCGACUUCCUGGACCAGUACCGACGUUCAGGCACGAAAGCGUGGGGAGCAAACAGGAUUAGAUACCCUGGUAGUCCACGCCAUAAACGAUGAGGACUAGACGUUGGAGGGGUAAGCCUUUCAGUGUCGUAGCUAACGCGCUAAGUCCUCCGCCUGGGGAGUACGGCCGCAAGGUUG